rnacentral:rRNA from 1 species
GCGCGAAAAUUCUACAAUGCACGCAAGUGUGAUAGAGGGAUUCAGAGUGCCUCCUGUUUUGCAGGGGGCUUUUCUAAAGUCCAAACAGCUUUAGGAAUAAGAGAUGGGUAAGACAGGUGCCAGCCGCCAUAUCGGUCGCUGUCACAUGUUGACGGUUACCAGUACGGUAAGCGGUAAUACCUGCGUCUCGAGUGGUGACCGCGCUUAUUGGGCUUAAAGCGUUCGUAGCUGGUUCGGAAAGUUCCUAAUGAAAUCUCAUGGUUGACUAUGGGGCUUGUUAGGGAAACUACCAGACUUGGGACCGGGAGAGGUCUGGGGUAUUGUAGGGGUAGGGGUUAAAUGCCUUGCUGGCAAGACAUGCCAGCAUAGCUGACAUUCCUGUAAUCCUUACAAGACCAUCUGUUGAUUUGAGUCCCGUUGGGGGCUCUUUUCAGGUGAUUGGCGAAGGCGCCAGACUGGAACGGAUCCGACAGUGAGGGACGAAAGCUAGGGGAGCAAAGGGGAUUAGAUACCCCCGUAGUCCUAGCCGUAAACGAUGCCCGUUAGACAUUGGGGCUCUUACGUGGGGCUUCAGAGUCGUAGGGGAACCGUUAAACGGGCCGCCUGGGGAGUACGUUCGCAAGGAUGAAACUUAAGGGAAUUGG